ACACUUCCUUAGCUAGGAGCUAGCAAUGCUACGUGGAAUUGCAUGUCGAAAAUAUUUAAAAAGUCAACCUGCCAUCUCUCCUGCCCUGCUCGUCCAAGUUCCCACUCUAGUUCCAGUACUGGCAGGCUUCACCACUAUAUCCCAGCAGGGUCCUGCUUGGCAUGUUCUCCCAGGUAUCUUCUGAGAGGUUGUUCUCUCUCCACUUCUCAUUCAAGUCUGAAGAUGCUUACAGUCACCUGCAGUACUUCUAAAUCAGAGUUUUGAGAUGGAAGAGGUCACAGCUCCAAUGAUCUCAGCCGAAGAAGAUGAGGAAGAAGACCAGCACAAGUGAGUCUCUCUCAAAUCAGCUUUUGCUGGUAUCAGGAUUUCUCUGGAGGACUCAACAAAGUCCUCUCCAUGCCUGAGAUUCCUACAAUGAUUGAAAUUCCAUUGUUUCUUCCCCGUGGCAUCCAGCCCACUGUACGCUGUGGCAUUUGGACAGCUUUGGGGUCCUAAGCCAAGCUCUCUCAACUCCGUUGAAGCUCUAGACUUGAGCUUCUCCAGCUUUGUUCCUGGAAAGCCCUGUACCCAACUGAUGAGAGCCACCUCGUUUUUCUAUGUUUCUGGAUCUCUAUUGGAAGAAGCAGCUGCUGAUUUUCAUAGGCUGAUCCCACCCAAAGCUACCUACAGUGUGCAAUCCUGUACCCAGAGAGGCUGCUUAGAAAACAAGAAUGUGUGUGUGUGUGCAUACAUGCAUGCAUGUGUGUGCGUGUGCGUGUGCGUGUGCGUGUGCGUGUGUGUGUGUGUGUGUGUGUGUGUGUAUGUAAACAUAUAUUCCAGGCAAGCCAUUCUUCCGAGAGCCAUAGAGCUGCAUCUGGAGCUCCAGAAAAUCUAUGGCUUGGGACAGUUUCCAAGGCCAGGCAAAAGUCCAAAGGGCACGUUACCCCCAGAGAGCAACUGGGCAGCUUCCUAAGUUAGGGAACAGGGAUGGGAAUGAUGGUGGCUAAUAUACUCAGACCUGGGAGGGUUGAAGUCCAGAAAUCUGCCCUAAAUGUAGCCACUCAGAGGCCAAGCAUCCAUCCAAUACAGUGGUUCUCGACCUUCCUAAUGCUGCAACCCUUUAACACAGUUCCUCAUGGUGUGGCCACCCCCAGCCAUAAAACUGUUUUCAUUGCUAAUUCAUAACUGUAAAUUUCUACUUUUAUGAAUAAUAAUGUAAAUAGCCAUAUUUUUGAUGGUCUUGACAACCCCUGUGAAAGGGUCUUUAAAUCCCCAAAAGAGCCUUGGCCCACAAGUUGAGAACUUCUUAUCUAGUGGAUGCUUGCGGUGGCAGCCAUGUCUCAAAAAUACCAGAGAAGCAUCCUCAAGACAACCCAUAUAGCCAGAACUUGCAAAAUUAAAAAAUAAAAUACCCAGAAAGGAAACAUUUCAAACUUCCAAAUAAGUGGUUAGCAGUAUUCUGCUCAGCUUGGUUUUUCCCUUUCAACUUCCUUUGAGGUACAGGGUACCUCAAUUUUGUAAGCAAAAGCAGAGGGAUGAUAUCUAAAGCCUCUUAUCCCCUUUCUACAGCCUUUAUCCCAAGACAAAGAUCUGUUUUAAAAAUAGCAAUUGUCUUAAAUAUGGUCCCUGAUGAAUCACAAGUGACAAGACUGGAGGAUGGUGACACUGGCUCCCAAGACACAUGUACUCUGUUGCUGAUCUAGUUCUCCAAGUAGGUAGGGCCUCUGUCUACCACUGGGAAUCAAGUGCUCUGGCUUAUUGGCAUUAGGUGAUGGAUGUUAUAAGGAUCCACUCAUAUCUACUACAUGAGCAGAGGGAAGACAAAGGGCUUGAAACCUUUUAGCCCUAAACAUACAGAGUCCCAGUCUCUACCUACAGUUUGAAACUUCCCCUCUGCUACUUCACACAUGCAAAUGAAAGGCAUAUUUAUACAUGGCACACAUACUUGAAUGUAUCCCAGAUUUUUUGAAACCACAAUCAAUUUCUAGGUAAAGAUAAAUGUAGUGAAAGGUACCAUAAUGAUAUUUAUGUGUCUCAACCUGAAAUGAGCCAGCUGGAUGAGAACAAAUCACUAUUAGCUUAGGACUGGCAAUGCCACUGUUCAGUAGACAGGACAUUUGGAGCCAGCCACUGGAAGGGUUCUUUUUUCAGAUAUUCGGGAAACUGGGUCUAAGCAGUGAUCAUUAAGGUAGGACACAUGUGUUUGCUGUUGUUGUUGUUGUUUUGUUUUCUAAGAAUGCCUGUACUUUAUACACAUCAGAGCCUAUUAUUCUGUAACAUUAAAGUCAUUCAGUUGCCUUCCAGUUAAAAUUUGUCUGCAUGAGGCUGGAGAGAUGGCUCAGCGGUUAAGAGCACUGACUGCUCUUCCAGAGGUCCUGAGUUCAAUUCCCAGCAACCACAUAGUAGCUCAUAACCAUCUGUAAUGGGAUCUGAUGCCCCCUUCUGUUGUAUCUGAAGACAGUGACAAUGUACUCACAUAUAUAAAAUAAAUAAAUCUUUUAAAAA
rnacentral:lncRNA from 1 species